CUUUUUUUUAACAGAGACAGAAAAUAAUGUAGCUUGCUUUCAAUCUAAUGCUGUAGAACUUUGUCCAGCUGUAGAAGAGACAGAAAAUACUUUAGCUUGCUUUCAAUCUAGUGCUGUAGAACUUUGUCCAGCUGUAGAAGAGACAGAAAAUACUUUAGCUUGCUUUCAAUCUAGUGCUGUAGAACUUUGUUCAGCUGUAGAAGAUGAUGUAUGUAAAUGGAAAAAUGAUCCAUGUAUUUUCAUUAACAAACAUUUAAGUCCUGAAGAAAAACGAUUUAUUUCUGAACUUGGACCUUGUCAACCAUUAGAAAAUGAUUUAUAUGGUUAUCAGUUUCCAAAAAAUACUAAUGGGAGGCAUUUUAAUGAACAGUGGUAUUUCAGAGUACUA